rnacentral:rRNA from 1 species
AUGGCGGAGGCGGCGCGGCCGCGGCCGACGCGCGUCGUGGAGGCUCUGCGCGGCAGGAUCGUCCAGGCGGUGAAGGAGAACCGCGUCACGAUCAUCGUGGGGGGCACCGGAUGCGGAAAGAGCUCCAUGAUUCCCCAAUUCCUCCUAGAAGAAAAUCUGGAUCCCAUUAUGUGCACACUGCCUAGGAGGUUUGCGGUGGUGGCCCUUGCUCAAAUGGUGGCUCAUUCUCGCGAUUGGGAGCUAGGAGAAGAGGUUGGAUAUCAUAUAGGCCACUCGAAUAUGAGCAAUCUCAUCUCGACAAGGUCAAAAAUUGUCUUCAAAACAGCUGGUGUUGUGUUGGAGCAAAUGCGUCAUAAGAGCUUUGCUGCAUUGCAAUAUAAGGUUAUCAUUCUUGAUGAGAUUCAUGAAAGGUCUGUGGAAUCUGAUCUUGUCCUUGCUUAUGUCAAGCAGUUUAUGAUGGCGACGAAUGACUCAAGGCUAGUAUUGAUGUCUGCUACCAUUGAUAGCACACAAUAUGUUGAGUACUUUAAAGAUAUUGGAAAGGUUGAACUGAUUACCAUCCCGAGCAGUUCAUGCUCUAACUUCCAGAGAAAAGUCCAAUAUCUUGAGCAGAUUGUUGAUAUUCUGAAGAUGGAUUCUGAAACUGAAUCACCCCGGACGAAGUAUUGCCCUGGACUAGAUUGCAAGGCAGAAGCUUAUCUUAGUCCUGACGUGUAUCAACUUAUCAACAAGUUAUUGUUGCACAUACAUGAAAAUGAACAAGACACUGGAAAGGGUAUUUUGGUUUUUCUUCCUACAUACUAUGCAUUGGAGCAGCAAUGGGAUGUGUUGUCUGGUUGUUCAAUUUUCAAGGUACAUAUUCUUCAUCGCAGCAUUGACACUGAUGAAGCUCUUGAAACUAUGAAGGCCUCAAAGUCUUGCCGAAAGGUUAUACUGGCGACAAACAUGGCUGAAUCGUCUGUCACUAUUCCAGGAGUUGCUUAUGUUAUUGAUUCCUGUAGAUCAUUGCAAGUCUACUGGAAUCCAGUCAGGAGAAUUGACUCAGUUAAGCUUGUAUGGAUUUCCAAGUCCCAGGCUGAGCAGCGGAAAGGCAGGACAGGCCGGACCUGUGAUGGUCAAAUUUUUCGCUUGGUAACAGAGCCAUUUUACAACACCUUUCCUGAUCAUGAAAGCCCUGCCAUUUUAAGUUUAUCCAUAAGAGAGCAAGCACUCAUGAUAUGUUGUGCAGCGUCCAUAGCUAUGAAUGACCCCACCGUCCUGCAAAAAACUCUCAAUCCACCAGAGUCUGCUGUUAUUAAAGAUGCACUAGAGACUCUUGUUCAAAUUGAUGCGGUUGAGCCAGCUUUGAAUGGAGGGUAUCAGCCCAGUUUUUAUGGCUAUUUGCUCAAUAGUUUGCCAUUAUCGUUCCAUGCUUCUGUUCUUACCCUGAAAUUUGGUGAGAUGGGGUAUCUCCAUGAAGGAAUCCUGAUAGGCAUUAUGUUGGACAUCCAACCACUUCCUAUACUGCAGCCUUUUGGUGAUCAAGCAUUGCGCAAGAAGAUUAGAGACAAUUACUUUGACGAGGGUACUUCUCAACAAAUUGGCAAGAAGGAAGCUACACUCAUCGGAAAUCUCCGGGCAUUUCAAUUUUGGCAGUGUAUGUUUAAGGAUAAGUUUCGUCUGGAGUACCUGAUAAAUAUGGCCAAGAUCGAUGCAUAUGGGCCCUUGAUCUUGAAAAAUGAACACGACUGGUGUAGAUUUCACAAUCUCGUGCCGAAAGCACUCAACAACAUCUCUGAAAUCUAUGAUGAUAUUAUGAGCACACUGCACCGCUUUAGGCCUCAUUUUCUUCGGAAAAUCAGUCCUCCAAAGUACCUUCAGACCUCUGAAUUCCACCAUGCAUGUCGUGACCCUGAAUUGCCGGAGCCAGAGCAUAUGCCUUCAUUCUCGUUGGAAGCUGAUAUUUCUCAUUUAGAUUCACAGCGGAGGUGUGCUUCACACCCUUAUAUUUCCGCAACUGAUUUUGGAGCCACUGACAUUGUUAAUGACCUGAAGAAGGCUAUCAAAGAGAUGAAGACACAACUUGCAGACGAACAAGUUGCUGGUAAUGCUCAACCAGCCCUUGGAGGUGAGAAGUGGGUGGAGGAUGUUGACAACACUUUUGAGGAAUACAAAGGCCCUUUUAACAAUUCGGCAGAUGACCCCAAACCAGCAUGCAAGUUCUUCCUCACAUUAAAGGGUUGUAUAAAGGGCAGCUCUUGUUCAUUUCCACAUGAUUGUGACUCUUUGAUCUCUUCAUCAGUUGCAUCUAAAAUAAACCCAGAAGAACUACCCUGGCGUGCUGACAUAGGUUGGACAAAGUUGCUGACGGGAGGUGAAAAUGGUCACAUUCUUGCCGUGAAUGACAAAAAUCUGAAGUUUUCUCGUGAACUUCGUAAGAUAGUUGCCCGCACACCUGAUCUGCAUUCGGCUGAGCAUAAUUCAGUUGCAAACAACCUCAGCAUAGUCCUGAAUGUCGCUGAUCCUUCUCAUCUAACUAUUGGAGGUGAACAUGAGCUACCAGUUCCUUGGACGAAAUUACAGCGAAUUAUUUUGUUAGAUGAUCAUGGUUCUGGUGAAGCAAUCAACCACCAACUAUUGCAGAAGUUCUUUGAGUAUAUUACCAUCAAGAUCUUGCUAGAAACAUUAUCUGGUUUGCAGGUCAUCGUGAUCAUGAAUAACACAAAAUUUGUUAAGAUACAGGUGGAAAAAAUGGCAAGAGAAUGUUUCUUCUUUCUGGGUGAAUCAUUCCUAUUAAAUGGAGUGCCUCUUGGAUGGUUUCCCUGCAUCCGUCAACAAGAUGGGCGAGUAGCAGGACCAGUUGCUUACGUUUUCAUCAUGCAUCCUCCAUCCCCACGGCGAUUUUGCGACACAAGAGAAUUGAGCGCCAAGUCCUCUGCAGAGACUAGUUAG